rnacentral:rRNA from 1 species
UACGUAGGCAGCGAGCGUUGUUCGGAGUUACUGGGCGUAAAGAGUAUGUAGGCGGUUCUGCAAGUUCGGUGUGAAAUCUCCCGGCUCAACUGGGAGGGUGCGCCGAAAACUGCAGGGCUAGAGUGUGGGAGAGGAAAGCGGAAUUCCUGGUGUAGCGGUGAAAUGCGUAGAUAUCAGGAGGAACACCGGCGGUGUAGACGGCUUUCUGGACCAUUACUGACGCUGAGAUACGAAAGCGUGGGGAGCAAACAGGAUUAGAUACC